GAGGAUGAGGGCUCGGGCUGCGGUGGUCUGGAGGGUCUGAGUCGUCACGUACUGGAGGAACUGGUCGGAGAGGUCGGCGACUCGGCAGAAACUCGGCAGGUCUCGGCACCGGAGGAUGUCCUCCAUGCCCGGCACGCUCGUCACGUCACGGUCCAUGUCUUCGUCUCCUACAAAAUAAUAGAAGUCCAAUUGCUUGACGAAAUUCCUCAAUGAGUUUCACUCCAACUUCUUAUUUAUUUUGUACCCUUUGAACACCAUACCUUUAUUUCGAUCAAAAAUAAAAUAAAAUACCUUACUGUUUCGUCAAGCUUUUCUCAAAAUUGAACAGAAUCAAGAGGUUCAGGGAAUACUGAAGUGGGAGCAUUACCUUUGAGGGGAAGGUCGCCACUCUCAAUCAUGCGCGGAAUACAGAAACAAGCCCAGAAGGAACUUGCGCUUAUCGUCCGGAACGCGAUGACUGGAACUCCAAGGUCUCCAGCGAAAUCAAUGGUGAAGGUCAGGAUCCCGUCGGCAAUGAUACAGGUCACGGGCCGAUCUGGAGCUGACACCAACUCUUCGAACAGCUGCUUGGUUAUGCUCUUGACGUAAUUGAAUGUGGUCAUGAAGUGGUCCGGGGGCCUUGGGUGGUCUAUCGGGAAGCCAUCCGAUAUGAUCUUGAAUCGGAAGUCCGGGAAGGCAGCAAAAUGGGCUUGGAUGUGGGCAUGCCGGAGGAGGCGAUGGUGGAUGUGUUCGGAGUUGAUGAAGGUGAUGCGGAGGCCGGAGAUGGCGAGGAGCUCGGUGAGCUUGAGCAUGGAGUUCACAUGGCCUUGAGCAGCUAAAGGAAAGAUGAUGACAUGAGGAGGAGGAACAGGCGGUGGAUCCAUUGCCGUCUUUUGGAUCCUCUGAUUGGAUUCGUGUUCCACUUUGCUAGUGGAAUGGUUAGCACUUAUACCCUUACUCUUUAACGACAGAAAGGUUUGUUUUAUAGUCGUCAUCCUCUUACUACUGAGACGUGACUCAUACGAAACAAGUGUCUACAUUAUGUUCUUAUUAUUGAAUACGGUGAUCUUGUCUAAUUGUGGAAGCAAUGCUAGGAAGGGUUGCUGUCACGGGACACUGCUGUAAUGGGGUCUACUCUCAUUUCGCUGAGCCGACGCAUUGUGCUUUUUUCUCUAGAGGGUUACCUCUUCUUACAAUUCUAAUAUUAAAUGAGGUAAAUGGUGGGUGGGUCCAAUACUCUUUUAAAAUGGAAAAUGACACAAAUAAUCUCUAAAUGUUGGUUCAAUGUGCAAUGUCUAAUGAAUUUUUAAAUAAUUAAUUGUUUGGUAAAUGUUCAACCAUGAAAAUAGUUGAUGCGAUCCUCCUGUUAAUUCACGUUGUAAGUAGUUUGCUCAUACUUAUACACUCUUAUUGCCAAUUAGAAUAAAUUGGGAAAAUUUUGGCCAUUGAAUAUUUUUCCAAGAUUGAAUUUUAAUCUAUUGAAAGCCAAAUUUGUGAUUUUUUUUUUUUUUUUUUUGAGAAUGAAGUAAGGCAUCUAUUUGUAACCCUCUUGAAUCAAGCAACAAACUAAUUGACCGACUCAUUGUCAUAUUCAUAGAUUUUGGCCAAAUUAGAAAUCGAUAUCUCAAGUAUUGUUCUAUAAAAGUGAAAACGAAAUUGUCUAUCCAUCUCAACCCAAAUGCGAUUUGAAUUGGGAGAUAAAUUCAUAUACUAAGUAAAGGCAGUUUCUAAUAAAGACACAUGGAACAACCUAAGUCUAAGGAAUUCAUUUAUUUCUACCUCUCCACAUUAGGCAAUAAAUGACAGUUGAUUGGUCAUCUUUGCUAGUGAAAAUAGUGAAGUCAGGAGUUUUGAAUUCGCUUGGAUAAGGUGUAGUGUUAACCCAAUUAGGAUGUGGCUUCCUAUACUGACCUGACCAUUCCUCUAUCGGUACCUAAUUGUUGCAACACAAGUUCAACCACUUGACUAGGAUUCACAAUUUGACAUUUAUCCCGCCUCCUAGUUUCAGGGUAGAUAGAUGAAUAAACUUGGCAUUUUUGCUCCCUACGUUUAGGGUAGAUAAGAUUUUUAGGCUUUUAUAAAAUCCUCUUUGAUAAUGGAAUCGCUUGGCCUAAAUUAUUUCCACCAUCCAAUUGAUUAAGAGUUGGAGGAACAUACACGAAAGCCAUUAUGUUUUGUUGAAUCGGCAUGGACUCAUUGAAUGUCUUGAGCCUUGACAUGACAUCAUUGAUUGCAUUGAUGACUAUCGACCUAACCAUGUUAGAAAUAUGUCUUGCUAUGUGAUUCUUCAUCUUAUUCCCAUUGUUCACUUCAUGAUAACCACCAAAGUAAGCUUCCGUGCUAACUCUCUUAUCUGCUUCUCUCUAAAGUGCCACGAGAUUUUGAUGUUGCCUUCUUGGCUUGACUCUAUUGCUGGAGCAAUUCAGGUCUCGGAUUGGGUAGUCAUAUUGCUAGGGUUUGUUGUCCAUAGCAUGAUCAGGUUCUAGAUGAUUCCUUGUUUUUCAGCGUCGUAGUUCCUUAAUCGACCACACUCUUCCCAUCGGGCAUACAAAAAAGAUGUGCUGGAAUUUGACUCCACAACGAAAUAUCUUUCAUAAAAAAAGAGGAGAUGGUUUUGUGGCGAUUUUGGACAAGAAAUAUCAUAUAUAGAUAAUAGAAUGAUAACUUCAUUGUGAAAGGAAUUGAACGUACACAAAUUGUGUCGAAAUUUAAUCAACGACAAAGCUUGAGAACAUAAUUAACUUAAAUGGAACCAAAAGUACACAUAUUACGUCGAAAUUUAGUUGAUAACAAAGCUUGAGAACGUGAAGAUGCAAUGCCAGAAUUUAAUGGAUAUGAGGCAUCUGAAAUAUAUAGUAGAGAUACAUAUUGAAGUUUAACUGAUGACACUGAUAUAGAUACUAUAAUUAAGAAACACAUUGAAAUUUAAACAAAGUUUAUGACUAAAGUGCAAGAAUGGAAAGAUAACAUGUUUGUGUAUUUGUGUGCCACGAGCUCUAAAGGGUACCCUUUUAAUAUUACAAUUGAUGGUUGUCAACAGAAGUCAUAAAUGGAAGUUGCAAAUGGGGAUUGCAAAUACAGAUUGCAAAUGAUUAUCGAACAGUCACAAUGACUCAACUAUCUUGACAAUUUCUUUGACUUUAUGGUUGCUUUAUUUCAUUAAGAAACACACAAUGUGAAGAAACCCAUUGCAAAUAUAGUAAAGAAACACACUGAAAUUUAAGCGGAGUAUAUAACUAAAGUGCAGGAAUAGAAAGAUUACUUAUUUGUUUAUUUGUGUGCCAAGGGCUUCAGAGAGUACUAUUUAAAGUUACAAUUGACAGUUGUCAAGGGAGGUCACAGACGAAAGUUGCAAAGGGGAAAGAUUACAAAUGAUUAUUGAACAGUUACAAUGACUCAACUACCUUGACAAUUUCUUCAAUGCCACUAUCUUAAUGGUAGCUUUAUUUCAUUAUAUUGACAGUUGCAUCCGAGAUUGUCGACUCCAUUUUUUGUUAAUUUUUUCAAGUUGUCCAUGAUUCUGUCAUAAAUGACCAAACUUUACUCUUAUCAAUCUAGUCUAUUACAUUUUGAUAAUAAUUAGAAAAUUAGCCAUAUUUUAAAAUAUAAACGCGAGGUGAUGGUUUUUUUAUUUUAUCUUGGAUACAAGGUGAUAUUAAAUGAUGGGUUUUUGUCCUUGGAUCCUCGAAUAGGAAGGUCAUCAACAUGUAUAUUAUAUUAUUAUAGCCGUCGACCGUCGAUUUCCUCAAAUUUACAAUAAUGACGACGACGACAAGGACAGCGAUGAUACUAUUAUCAUUAUUAUUAUUAAUGGAAAAGAUUACAAGUCACAAUACCUAGUAGAUCACUAUAUCACCUACCUUUUGCAAGUCACCAAGAUACCUACCUUAAUAAUAAUAUUAAUAAUAAUAAUUUUAUUUAUGGAAAAGGUUACAAAGCUCUAAUCGGUUUCUUUACAAUCACCUUUUUUUUGAAAGUGAUGCAUAUAAUAAAUUUGAUCCGCUACAUUGCCAUUCAAUUGAACAAUUUAUGCAGUUUAUGGAAUUUCACUAGUAUUUAGAAUAUCUCGUGUAUCUUAUAUAUAAAUUUUUAUAUAAUUCUAUGGUUUAACCAUUGCCAUUUUUUGUAUAUUAUGUUACAAUAAAAUAUAGAAUUUCUUUUUUAUUUAUUUGUCUUAAACGAACAAAUCCAAUGAAGAGAUGAUAUGUGAAAUGAUCGAUCACAUUAUCGAUAGAUGAGCAUCAAGUUGUAAGAAUGAAAUCGAUGAUGAUUUUACAAUAGAGUGAAAGAGAAAGUACGUAUUUUGGCGAUCACAAUGGAAGACCUUGAAAAGUUUAAUGGUGUGGCCUUGGAGCCCAAGAAAGUACCAUUUCCUUAUAAUUAAAUGGAAAUAAAGAUUGUCUCCAUUAAUAUUCGCGCGUCUAUUUACCACCACAAUAUUAUCUAAAUAUAUUAACGAUGAUGAGAUUGAGACAUUAAAAGAAACACCGAUAAGUAUCCAUUGGUGUAUGUUAUUUGAACUUUUGGAAUUCUAAUAAUCCUCUACUUCAAAAACAGAAGAAAUCAGAAGACAACGUUGGACUUCAGCUAGUGGGCUUCAUGGACCUUAUAUCCUCAAUCAAGCGGUCCAGAUUAUCCCACGAGGACCCACCUUCGCUCGCGGCGUCCCUCGCCCUCCUCGCCAAGUCGCCGGCCGCCGCCGCAAACUCCUCCUUCCUCUCCCCCAUCACCUCGUUCACCAUCCUCUCCACCACCUCCCUGUCGCACACGUCCUUCAUGUCGAGCCCUGCCUUCCAAGCGUGGCUCACCAGCCGGCUGUUCAACUGCUGGUCCGCGAAGAACGGCCAACACACCAUCGGCUUCCCAGCGACCACGCUCUCCAGCGUGGAGUUCCAUCCGCUGUGCGUCAGGAACGCUGCGAUGGCGCCGUGGUGCAGGACCUCCUCCUGCGGGGCCCACCCCACGAUGCACCCCCUCUCCGCCGCCGCCUCCCUCAGCUCCUCCGGGACGGCGCCGCUGCUGCCUUCGGGUAGGGAGUCCGACCGCAAGACCCACAGGAAGCGCCUCCCGCUGUUCACGAGGCCGUACCAGAACUCCGUGAAGUCGUGUCUGUUGAGAGUCGUGAUGCUCCCGAAGCUCACGUAGACGACCGACUUCGGUGGUUGCUUGUCGAGCCAGGCGAUACAACUCCGGUCGACUUCCCAGAGACUGUUGCUUGCUGACGAUGAUGGUGGUGACGACGGCGACGACGAUGAGAGUCUGGAUUUCAGGUGCGAGUGGAGAGGGCCGAUUGUGUAGAGGUUGGGGAAGUGGGUUCGAAUCUGGGAAAGGGCGGGGCCCUCCAGUUGGUCGAAGCUGUUGAGGAUGAGGGCUCGGGCUCCGGUGGUCCGGAGGGUCUGCGUCGUCACGUACUGGAGGUUCCAGUCGGAGAGGUCGGCAACUCGGCAGAAACUCGGCAGGUCUCGGCACCGGAGGAUGUCCUCCAUGCCCGGCACGCUCGUCACGUCACGGUCCAUGUCUUCGUCUCCUAUAAAAUAAUAGAAGUUCAGUUGCUCGAAGAAAUUCCUCAAUGAGUUUCACUCCAAUUUGUUAUUUAUUUUGCACCCUUUGAACACCACAACUUACUUUAGGUCAAGCUUUUCUCAAAAUUGAACAGAAUCAAGAGGUUCAGGGAAUGCUUAAGUGGGAACAUUACC
rnacentral:lncRNA from 1 species